rnacentral:rRNA from 1 species
UAUACAACUUUCAGCAACGGAUCUCUUGGCUCUCGCAUCGAUGAAGAACGCAGCGAAACGCGAUAAGUAAUGUGAAGUGCAGAAUUCAGUGAAUCAUCGAAUCUUUGAACGCACCUUGCGCCCUUUGGUAUUCCGAAGGGCAUGCCUGUUUGAGUGCC